rnacentral:rRNA from 1 species
GAUGUUAGCGGCGGACGGGUGAGUAACACGUGGGUAACCUGCCUGUAAGACUGGGAUAACUCCGGGAAACCGGGGCUAAUACCGGAUGGUUGUUUGAACCGCAUGGUUCAAACAUAAAAGGUGGCUUCGGCUACCACUUACAGAUGGACCCGCGGCGCAUUAGCUAGUUGGUGAGGUAACGGCUCACCAAGGCAACGAUGCGUAGCCGACCUGAGAGGGUGAUCGGCCACACUGGGACUGAGACACGGCCCAGACUCCUACGGGAGGCAGCAGUAGGGAAUCUUCCGCAAUGGACGAAAGUCUGACGGAGCAACGCCGCGUGAGUGAUGAAGGUUUUCGGAUCGUAAAGCUCUGUUGUUAGGGAAGAACAAGUACCGUUCGAAUAGGGCGGUACCUUGACGGUACCUAACCAGAAAGCCACGGCUAACUACGUGCCAGCAGCCGCGGUAAUACGUAGGUGGCAAGCGUUGUCCGGAAUUAUUGGGCGUAAAGGGCUCGCAGGCGGUUUCUUAAGUCUGAUGUGAAAGCCCCCGGCUCAACCGGGGAGGGU